GUAAAACCUCUGCUUCGAGCCUUGGUGACUCAGCGUUUUGGCUUGCUGUGCCUCCUGAAAAAUGAACCUGGCUCAGUAACAAAUUUGGUGGGUCAACCAGGAGGGACCAUGUUUAGGGAAAAAGAACAAUGGAGAAUAAAACAACAGGCCACUCUGCUGGCGGCUGCCUUAACACAGGGAAGAGCCGGACCCCCACAAAGGACUCGGCAACAGGGGGUGUGACUUUGGACAAGCUGCUUCACCUCCCCGAGCUUCCGUUUCCUCAUCUUUAAAGUGGGAUAAUCAUACCUACCUCACAGGGUGGCUGUAGGAAGACAUGAUACAGCAUGUGGCACUUGCUUGGUACACAGUUGGUGCUCAAAAACAAAUCUCUCUUCUUUUUGGAUGGUGUAAAAUGGAGCUGUGAAGCCUGAACUACUACCAUAAAGGGAGAGCCUUGAUCUGCUGUGUAGAAGCUGAGAAUGAAGUUGGCAUUAAGAAAGGCAGCUGAAAGAUGGAGGGGAAAAUGUCUUCGGUGAAAGUGUUUGAAACCCGGAUCAAGCCUUACCUGAGCUUACGGGACUUCCCUGGUGGUGCAGUGGACACAGGUUCGAGCCCUGGUCUGGGAAGAUCUCACAUGCUGCGGAGCAACUAAGCCUAUGUGCCACAACUACUGAAGCCCGUGCGCCUAGAGCCCAUGCUCCACAACGAGAAGCCACCGCAAUGAGAAGCCCCUGCACCACAACAAAGAGUAGUCCCUGCUCGACGCAACUAGAGAAAGCCCGUGCACAGCAAUGAAGACCCAGUGCAGCCAAAAAUAAAUAAACAACUUACAAUGAUCCUCUAUAUGAAAAAUUUAAGCUACAGAUCUGUGUUCGAAAGUAGUU